UGAUCCAGACUUUGAUCCUGGCUCAGGAUGAACGCUAGCUACAGGCUUAACACAUGCAAGUCGAGGGGCAGCGGGAUUGAAGCUUGCUUCAAUUGCCGGCGACCGGCGCACGGGUGAGUAACGCGUAUCCAACCUUCCGUACACUCAGGGAUAGCCUUUCGAAAGAAAGAUUAAUACCUGAUGGUAUGAUGAGAUUGCAUGAUAGCAUCAUUAAAGAUUUAUCGGUGUACGAUGGGGAUGCGUUCCAUUAGGUAGUAGGCGGGGUAACGGCCCACCUAGCCAACGAUGGAUAGGGGUUCUGAGAGGAAGGUCCCCCACAUUGGAACUGAGACACGGUCCAAACUCCUACGGGAGGCAGCAGUGAGGAAUAUUGGUCAAUGGACGAGAGUCUGAACCAGCCAAGUAGCGUGAAGGAUGAAGGUCCUACGGAUUGUAAACUUCUUUUAUAAGGGAAUAAACCCUCCCACGUGUGGGAGCUUGUAUGUACCCUAUGAAUAAGCAUUGGCUAACUCCGUGCCAGCAGCCGCGGUAAUACGGAGGAUGCGAGCGUUAUCCGGAUUUAUUGGGUUUAAAGGGAGCGCAGACGGGUCGUUAAGUCAGCUGUGAAAGUUUGGGGCUCAACCUUAAAAUUGCAGUUGAUACUGGCGUCCUUGAGUGCGGUUGAGGUGUGCGGAAUUCGUGGUGUAGCGGUGAAAUGCUUAGAUAUCACGAAGAACUCCGAUUGCGAAGGCAGCACACUAAUCCGUAACUGACGUUCAUGCUCGAAAGUGUGGGUAUCAAACAGGAUUAGAUACCCUGGUAGUCCACACGGUAAACGAUGGAUACUCGCUGUUGGCGAUAUACUGUCAGCGGCUUAGCGAAAGCGGUAAGUAUCCCACCUGGGGAGUACGCCGGCAACGGUGCAACUCAAAUGAAUUGACGGA
rnacentral:rRNA from 1 species